CUAUGAAAUAGUAGCAGUGCUUGCAUUGGAAUUAUACGGACAAGAUUAGCAUGACCUCCAUGUAAGGAUGACUUGAAAAUUCAUGAAGCAUUCCAUAUUUUU
ensembl:snRNA U6 U6 spliceosomal RNA